AUUGAACGCUGGCGGCAUGCUUUACACAUGCAAGUCGAACGGCAGCACAGGGAGCUUGCUCCCGGGUGGCGAGUGGCGCACGGGUGAGUAAUACAUCGGAACGUGUCCUGUUGUGGGGGAUAACUGCUCGAAAGGGUGGCUAAUACCGCAUGAGACCUGAGGGUGAAAGCGGGGGAUCGCAAGACCUCGCGCAGUUGGAGCGGCCGAUGACUGAUUAGCUAGUUGGUGGGGUAAAGGCCUACCAAGGCGACGAUCAGUAGCUGGUCUGAGAGGACGACCAGCCACAUUGGGACUGAGACACGGCCCAAACUCCUACGGGAGGCAGCAGUGGGGAAUUUUGGACAAUGGGGGCAACCCUGAUCCAGCCAUGCCGCGUGCGGGAAGAAGGCCUGGUUGUAACGCUUUGUUAGGUAACGAAAAGGUAAUCUGUGAACAACAGGUAUUGCUGACGGUACCUAAAGAAUAAGCACCGGCUAACUAACGUGCCAGC
rnacentral:rRNA from 1 species